UUUCCUCUAAGCCUCUGUGGCUUGGUCCCAGCAUUUCCUGGAUGUGGAUGGAGACAGUUGGCUCCUAUCUGCCUUUCUGAUCUGUCUUCUGGCCUGAGGGAUGAGAUGGUACUGCCUCAUAGAACUACAGUAAAGAAAAACCGGAGACAGCACACAGAAAUGCUGGCACAUGUGGCAACAUGGAUACUGGUGAGGACAUCUUAUGGAAUGAAAGAAGCCAGCCUCAGCACACACUGUGGUCUAUGCUGAGGAACCAGGUCUCUCAUUGAACCCAGGACUCACCACUUGGCAGGCUGGCUGGUCAGCAGGCCCUGGGAAUCCACCUGUCUCCACUUCCCCAGUGCUGAGGUGACAAGCAAGCACUGCCUCAUUUGGCUUCACACAUGGGCACUAGGCACAGAACUCAGGUCUUCAUGCUUGCACGGAGGCAUCCAUUCACAGCGGGAGCAGCAGAUUCGGUUACUGCCUCACGUUCUUCCUCCAUUUGAGGCUUUGUUUCCUGUUACCUGGAGGCAGCUCAGCACCCAACUAGGUUUCUGGCUCACUAUGGAAGGCCCCUACAAAGAGAUGAGAGAGAACCCGCAGAGCUCCACCAGCAUCAGCCACAACAAAACAACCCCAAUCUCUAGGGGCAGGUAACUCUCUCUGUUUGUGGUCCUCAAGUGCAAGCAACUAUCAACUGUGGUGAGGGUUUAUUUAAAUGCACACACCUAAUUUCGUCAUUCCUUGGACACAACACCAACCACCAAGUUGCUGAGUUCCACCGUAUGAGGCAGACAUUUCCAGGGACUGUGUCAAUGUUUAGAGCCCCCUCUCUGUAGAAACUGAAUAUGAUUCACCUUGUAAAUUUGUAUAGUCUGGCAACUACAUUAAAAAGGAAACUAAAACAAAUAAAGAAGCUGUG